rnacentral:rRNA from 1 species
UAAGGAAUAUUGCUCAAUGGGAGAAAUCCUGAAGCAGCAACGCCGCGUGGAGGAUGAAGGGUCUAUGACUUGUAAACUCCUGUAAAGAAGGAAAAAAUUCCCAUUAGAUGGGAGAUGAUGGUACUUCUGGAGUAAGCCCCGGCUAACUACGUGCCAGCAGACGCGGUAAUACGUAGGGGGCAAGCGUUGUCCGGAUUUACUGGGUGUAAAGGGUGCUCAGGCGGAUUUGUAAGUCAGAGGUGAAAUCUUACAGCUUAACUGUGAAACUGCCUUGGAUACUGAACGCCUAGAGUAUGGAAGAGAGUGAUGGAAUAUCUGGUGUAGCAGUGAAAUGCGUAGAUAUCAGAUAGAAAACCAAUGGCGAAGGCAGUCACUUGGUCCAUUACUGACGCUAAAGCACGAAAGCGUGGGUAGCAAAC